GUCAGCGGCCAUCGGAGAGGUGGCACACCCAGUCCCAUUCCGAACCUGGAAGUUAAGACCUCUUACGGCGUUGUUGGUACUGUCGAAAGACGGGAAGGCGCGCUGCUGCUGCCA
rnacentral:rRNA from 1 species